ensembl:antisense Gm17201 predicted gene 17201
UUGUGCUCAGUUCUCUUUACUUCCUACAACCGAGUACAUGGGUCACAGGGUGGGGGGUGCAACAGGACAGGGACAUGCCCCUCCGUGCCCCCCAGCACGCCUGCACACAGGAUGGUGGUGUCUGCAGCAUCACAGGUCAUGCAGGGCAUGGGGAAGGGAUGGACAGGGCAUCUGAAGGGACCAGGGCCAGAUGCAAUGCUACAUUUGAAGAGAACACUGCCCUCCCCAUUCCAGCCCAGUUUGGCUUCUCGGGUACAUUCCAGAACCUUAUCAGUGCAGAGUCUACUCAACCAUCUCUCCAUGCUGGGAGGGCAGGGGACUGAACUGAGCCACAGUGUCUGUCUGUCGCUCCCUUGACCAGUGCUCCUCCUCCCACGGAGGAAAGCCUGC